GAUUUCUAUUUGAUCAACUAGAAACUUGAGACAAGGGUGGCGUCAGAUGAAGACCUUAAACUUUCUGAUCUUCUACGCUACUAUAUGAGAGAUUCUGCUGCAGCAAAGGAUCUGUUGUACCGCAGGAUGCGUGCACUUGUUGACUAUCAGUCUGCAAACAAAGCAUUAGAGAAAGCACGAGCAAAGAACAAGGAUGUGCAGCAAGCUGAGAUGAAACAACAAGAAUCGUGUGACAAGUUUGAGAAGAUAUCUGAGGUUGCUAAAGCUGAACUGUCUGAUUUUAAGACAAGAAGAGUGACUGCAUAUAGAAAGCAUCUGGUUGAGCUAGCUGAACUUGAGUUGAAGCAUGCAAAGGCUCAGGUUCAACUGUUAAAAAAUUGUCUGUCAUCACUGCAAGACAACUAGUUCAAGGUAGGCUCUAAAGAAGAUCCGCUGACAAGUUCAAGGAGAGGAACUCACAGGAAUAAGAAUAUGGGUCUAGAUCGUGGGUGCAGAAUUCUCAAGCGUUAUGGCCAUACUAAGGUUACCUCAAGCUCCACCCUGAAGGAUAUUUUGAGAGCUUUAAGGGGAUCAAAGUGUCAUCUGCAAUAUCAGCCGACAUUUGAAGGAAAAAAAUAGGGGGGGGGAACCCCUGUAUCACUGCACCACUUUUGGGGCAAGCUCCAUUUCAGAAACCUGAGGCAAUUUUUGUUGUUGGCCUAAGGAUAAAGUACAUGUUAUUGACUGUGAAAAUGUCACCUAGUUUGCAUACUCUAUUCCCACGUUAUGACUAUUUUAAUAAACAGACCACAAAAUUCAGCUGUCCACCACUGAUCAUUAGUGGACAGCUGAAUCUUAUGGUCUGUUUACUAAAAUAUCAUAGGUUUUCAUUGGUUCGUAGAAUAGUAAUUCUACGAACCAAUGAAUAACUUUUAAAUAAAAUUUCCCACCUCCAUGAAACAACGAAAACUUGCAGAGGAAAACAGACAAAAAUCACCAUCAAUAUGGCAUUCCAUAGACAGCUAUAAAAAUAGCUUCUUUUUAGUAAAACAUGCAUAACUUCUGAUAGCAUGAUCAAUUUCAGUAAUGCUUUUUUUUUUCAGAUGAGUGGAAGAACAUGCUCUUUUACGAUAUACUUCAUUUGUGUAUUACAUUUGAUUGAUAUUUAAGAAAGAAAAAAAUUGAUAUUUAAAAAAGAAAAAAAAAAAAUAUUCCAGGUCACUUUCUUUUUGACUCACCCUGUAUAUUUACUGAUUUGUAGAGAAGGGAAAUACGUGUAAAAAAAAAUGACUAUUACUAUUUUCUGUUACUAUUUGCUUGUACUUGAGUGAAGGAAAGAAUGGUAUCAGCCAUAAACUCAAUUUUCUUGAGAAACAUUAAAUAGUAUACACAUAUGGACUGGCAAUGAGGUCACUAGAGCACUGUGCCCAGAGGGACUGUGAGUGACCAUAGGACCCUGUUCUGGUCACUCACAGGGCAGAGGGGGCAUAGACAUGCACUUAGUGACCAAAUUAUGCCAGUCCAUAUGUGUUUUUGCACCUCUGUCCUACAUUUAAACUAAAAAAAAACCUUUCAGGGUUUUAUUAUUGAACUGUUUAAAUUCAACAGUUAACUCAUAAGCAAUUCAACUGUAAGCAAUUCAACAAUUAAAGGAACGCUUUUAGUUUCCCUAGAUUAAAUUUUUGAGUUUGAGUUUUGUCGGAGGGCGCUUUUACCAGUCAAAAAUGUUUGAGUAUAGUGCCCGAUCAGGCACUAUACUCUGGAAAUUACGUGCGCGAGAUGUCUUGACGCAUUUGUAGUUCACACUGAUGGAAGUUUCAAACACUAGCCUAUAUUAGCGAGUCACACGUAACCGCGUUUAAGCCAACCAGGACAAAGAACAAGCAAGCAGUGUGUUACAAUUUUGUCUUACCACAUCUCCCUGUUGAUUAUUCAAUUAAAUAGUAUAGUUAGCAGUUAAAAUAUUUGUUUUGUUUUGAUUUAUUAUUUUUUUUCAUGUGAAACAAUCGCAAAGUUGUAUCUUUAUCGAAAGCUUCAAGAUCAGACUUUAUAGAGUAGAAGGUUAUUGAUUGUAAAAUAGUAAAAUGUGGAGUUCCCCCAUCAUUCCAAUUUUAUUUUUAAUCACAACACAAUAGGGAGCCCAAUACUUUUUCGAAAAUACUUGGUGAACCAAUUUCCAUUGCGUUUGAGUAGUAAAGGCGUGUUCAUCGGUCCUGAGAAAAUCAUGGAUGUUUGUUAACCAAAUAUUUAAAUAUAAAAACAUGAUUAUGAAAAUCAAUUCUGUUUAUCAUGUUACUAAUGUCAUAGGAGUCAAUACCUCACAGAUUUUAUUAGAAGACAAAUCUAAAGUGUUACAUGUUUUUGUUAAUGAUUUGUGCUGAUAUAUGUAACAUUUGUAUUGAAUAUCUUGCUUUCACAGUAGAUAGUCAGUAGUCUAAGCCUUUCAAGUUACUCUGUUUACAAAGAAGUGUAUAUCUUUUUGUUCAUUAUUUACAAUAAAUUUGCAUUUGCAUUUAAAAUAU